AAAUCAAGUAUAAACACAGGAAAAGCGUAUGGAUUUUGGUAUGUAAAAGCACAUAAUUUCACAUGUCCUGUAAUACAUAUAGUUCUAUAGGAAGCAUCGACUUGGACCUUUCAUUAAGGAGAAUUGCUGAAGCAAAUAACCAGGAUUUUACAUUAUCACAAUAUGACUUACAGAACACUGAGAUCGACAUCGACCCUGAAAAUAACUUCUUUACUAGAGCUACUAAUGACUGUCAAUAUUAUACAGAGGAUCUUUACAAUAGUAAACUUAAGAACAUUAAGGCAUUCACUGUAAUCCACUUCAAUAGUCGAAGCCUCUAUGCAAACUUUAACCACAUCAAAAGCUUCUUAAAACAGUUUUCUAAACCAUUUAGUGUAAUUUUAAUCACAGAAACAUGGAUUAAUAAUGACAGAGAAAUUGAGUUUUCUAUUGAUGGUUAUGAAUUUAUAAGUAUGAACAGAAGAAACAAGCAUGGUGGGGGUGUAGCUAUGUUUGUAGACUCAAACUACAGCUAUAAAGUAAUGGAAAAUAAGACUAUGGUAGUGGAUGAUGCACUUGAAUGCCUUACUGUAGAAAUUACAAGGCAAAAAAAGAAAAAUAUUAUUGUAAGUUGUAUUUAUAGAACACCUGGCGCUGAUAUAGAUGUUUUUUCUAAUUGGAUGGAGGAGCACUUUUCAGGUUUAAAUCAUAAAGUCAUGUUUGUGGGGGGAGACCUUAACAUCGAUCUGUUAAACCCAUAUAAACAUAAAAAGACGGACGAAUUUAUAAAUACUUUAUUUAGUAUAGGUCUGUUUCCUCUAAUAACUAAACCGAGUAGAAUCACAACCCACAGUGCGACUUUGAUUGAUAACAUUUUCUCAAAUGAAAUAGAUAGUGAUACAGUCAGUGGUUUAAUGAUAAAUGAUAUUAGUGAUCACCUGCCAGUUUUUGUAUUGUACAAAAAUGGAUAUUUAAAUAUUGAUGAUGAAAAAAUGUAUUGGUUUAGAAGGGUAAAAACAGAAAAAACUAUUGAGGUAUUUAAAAAGGAACUAUUAGCUCAAGACUGGAGUAUUGUAUAUAGAGAGAAUGAUACUAAUAAGGCAUAUGAUGAGUUUACG
rnacentral:lncRNA from 1 species